GGACCCGCACAAGUGGUGGAGCAUGUUGCUUAAUUCGACAAUACACGUAGAACCUUACCUAGGCUUGACAUCUCCUGCAAAGCUAUAGAGAUAUAGUGGAGGUUAACAGGAUGACAGGUGGUGCAUGGUUGUCGUCAGCUCGUGUCGUGAGAUGUUGGGUUAAGUCCCGCAACGAGCGCAACCCCUAUUGCUAGUUAAUUUAUCUAGCGAAACUGCCAGCGUAAGCUGGAGGAAGGUGGGGAGGACGUCAAAUCAUCAUGCCCUUUAUGCCUAGGGCUGCAAACGUGCUACAAUGGUCGGUACAAAGUGUUACUAAAUCGCAAGGUCAUGUUAAUCACAUAAAGCCGAUCUCAGUUCGGAUUGAAGGCUGCAAUUCGCUUCAUGAAGUUGGAAUCACUAGUAAUCGCGAAUCAGACAUGUCG
rnacentral:rRNA from 1 species